rnacentral:tRNA from 1 species
GCCGCUAGAGAGCGGCGGUUUCGUAAACCGCAGGCCGGGGGUUCAAUACCCUCCAGUGGCU